UAAUUGAAGAGUUUGAUCAUGGCUCAGAUUGAACGCUGGCGGCAGGCCUAACACAUGCAAGUCGAGCGGCAGCACAAGGGAGUUUACUCCUGAGGUGGCGAGCGGCGGACGGGUGAGUAAUGCCUAGGGAUCUGCCCAGUCGAGGGGGAUAACAGUUGGAAACGACUGCUAAUACCGCAUACGCCCUACGGGGGAAAGGAGGGGACCUUCGGGCCUUCCGCGAUUGGAUGAACCUAGGUGGGAUUAGCUAGUUGGUGAGGUAAUGGCUCACCAAGGCGACGAUCCCUAGCUGUUCUGAGAGGAUGAUCAGCCACACUGGGACUGAGACACGGCCCAGACUCCUACGGGAGGCAGCAGUGGGGAAUAUUGCACAAUGGGGGAAACCCUGAUGCAGCCAUGCCGCGUGUGUGAAGAAGGCCUUCGGGUUGUAAAGCACUUUCAGUAGGGAGGAAAGGGUGUAGUUUAAUACGCUAUAUCUGUGACGUUACCUACAGAAGAAGGACCGGCUAACUCCGUGCCAGCAGCCGCGGUAAUACGGAGGGUCCGAGCGU
rnacentral:rRNA from 1 species